AUUGAAUGCUGGCGGCAGGCUUAACACAUGCAAGUCGAGCGGGGGAAGGUAGCUUGCUACCGGACCUAGCGGCGGACGGGUGAGUAAUGCUUAGGAAUCUGCCUAUUAGUGGGGGACAACAUCUCGAAAGGGAUGCUAAUACCGCAUACGUCCUACGGGAGAAAGCAGGGGAUCUUCGGACCUUGCGCUAAUAGAUGAGCCUAAGUCGGAUUAGCUAGUUGGUGGGGUAAAGGCCUACCAAGGCGACGAUCUGUAGCGGGUCUGAGAGGAUGAUCCGCCACACUGGGACUGAGACACGGCCCAGACUCCUACGGGAGGCAGCAGUGGGGAAUAUUGGAUAAUGGGGGGAACCCUGAUCCAGCCAUGCCGCGUGUGUGAAGAAGGCCUUAUGGUCGUAAAGCACUUUAAGCGAGGAGGAGGCUACUUUAGUUAAUACCUAGAGAUAGUGGACGUUACUCGCAGAAUAAGCACCGGCUAACUCUGUGCCAGCAGCCGCCGUAA
rnacentral:rRNA from 1 species